UACGUAGGGUGCAAGCGUUGUCCGGAAUUAUUGGGCGUAAAGAGCUCGUAGGCGGUCUGUCGCGUCGGCUGUGAAAACCCGAGGCUCAACCUCGGGCCUGCAGUCGAUACGGGCAAACUAGAGUACUGCAGGGGAGACUGGAAUUCCCGGUGUAGCGGUGAAAUGCGCAGAUAUCAGGAGGAACACCGGUGGCGAAGGCGGGUCUCUGGGCAGUAACUGACGCUGAGGAGCGAAAGCGUGGGGAGCGAACAGG
rnacentral:rRNA from 1 species